GCCUCUGUAGCUCAGCGAAAGAGCGGCAGUCUACGAAACUGUAGGUCGUAAGUUUAAAUCUUACCAGGGGCUCCA
rnacentral:tRNA from 1 species